rnacentral:rRNA from 1 species
AGUUUGAUCCUGGCUCAGAUUGAACGCUGGCGGCAGGCCUAACACAUGCAAGUCGAGCGGAAACGACACUAACAAUCCUUCGGGUGCGUUAAUGGGCGUCGAGCGGCGGACGGGUGAGUAAUGCCUAGGAAAUUGCCUUGAUGUGGGGGAUAACCAUUGGAAACGAUGGCUAAUACCGCAUGAUGCCUACGGGCCAAAGAGGGGGACCUUCGGGCCUCUCGCGUCAAGAUAUGCCUAGGUGGGAUUAGCUAGUUGGUGAGGUAAUGGCUCACCAAGGCGACGAUCCCUAGCUGGUCUGAGAGGAUGAUCAGCCACACUGGAACUGAGACACGGUCCAGACUCCUACGGGAGGCAGCAGUGGGGAAUAUUGCACAAUGGGCGAAAGCCUGAUGCAGCCAUGCCGCGUGUAUGAAGAAGGCCUUCGGGUUGUAAAGUACUUUCAGUUGUGAGGAAGGGUGUGUAGUUAAUAGCUGCNCANCUUGACGUUAGCAACAGAAGAAGCACCG